AAUUUUGGACAAGGGGGGAAACCCUGAGCCAGCCAUCCCGCGUGGAUGACGAAGGCCUUCGGGCUGUAAAGUACUUUUGGCAGAGAAGAAAAGGUAUCUCCUAAGACCAGAGACUGCUGACGGUAUCUGCAGAAUAAGCACCGGCUAACUACGUGCCAGCAGCCGCGGUAAUACGUAGUGUGCAAGCGUUAAUAGGAAGUACUGGGCGUAAAGCGUGUGUAGGCGGUUCGGAAAGAAAGAUGUGAAAUCCCAGGGCUCAACCUUGGAACUGCAUUUUUAACUGCCGAGCUAGAGUAUGUCAGAGGGGGGUAGAAUUCCACGUGUAGCAGUGAAAUGCGUAGAUAUGUGGAGGAAUACCGAUGGCGAAGGCAGCCCCCUGGGAUAAUACUGACGCUCAGACACGAAAGCGUGGGGAGCAAA
rnacentral:rRNA from 1 species